rnacentral:misc_RNA from 1 species
GGAAGUAAAAGCCGUAACAAGGUCUCCGUUGGUGAACCAGCGGAGGGAUCAUUACAGAGUUGCAAAACUCCCAAACCAUUGUGAACGUUACCUAUCCCGUUGCUUCGGCGGGCGGCCCGGGCCCCGCGCCCGGCGCCCCCCGGCCCCCCGUGGGCGCCCGCCGGAGGUAAACCAAACCCUUGAAUUGCAUGGCCUCUCUGAGUCUUCUGUACUGAAUAAGUCAAAACUUUCAACAACGGAUCUCUUGGUUCUG